rnacentral:rRNA from 1 species
CUACGGGGGGCUCCAGUGGGGAAUAUUGCACAAUGGGCGCAAGCCUGAUGCAGCAACGCCGCGUGAGGGAUGAAGGCCUUCGGGUUGUAAACCUCUUUUAGCAGGGAAGAAGCGAAAGUGACGGUACCUGCAGAAAAAGCACCGGCUAACUACGUGCCAGCAGCCGCGGUAAUACGUAGGGUGCAAGCGUUGUCCGGAAUUAUUGGGCGUAGAGAGCUCGUAGGCGGUUUGUCACGUCUGCUGUGAAAAUCCAAGGCUCAACCUUGGACUUGCAGUGGGUACGGGCAGGCUAGAGUGCGGUAGGGGAGAUGGGAAUUCCUGGUGUAGCGGUGGAAUGCGCAGAUAUCAGGAGGAACACCAAUGGCGAAGGCACAUCUCUGGGCCGUAACUGACGCUGAGGAGCGAAAGCGUGGGGAGCGAACAGGAUUAGAUACCCUAGUAGUC